rnacentral:rRNA from 1 species
ACCCGCUGAACUUAAGCAUAUCAGUAAGCGGAGGAAAAGAAACUAACUAGGAUUCCCCGAGUAGCGGCGAGCGAAAGGGGAAAAGCCCAGCGCCGAAGCCCGCGUGCUCACGCACGCAGUGCAAUGUGGCGUUUCGGUGGCGGCUCGCCGCGACUUCUCUGGCACGCGUACCUCUGAAUGGGUCUGCCCGCAGCGGGUGUCAGGCCUCUACUUGCCACGUGAGUUGUCGCGGCCCGUCGUCAUCGCGGAGUCGGGUUGCUUGAGAGUGCAGCCCAAAGUGGGUGGUAAGCUCCAUCUAAGGCUAAAUACCUAGUGCGAGACCGAUAGCAAACAAGUACCGUGAGGGAAAGUUGCAAAGAACUUUGAAAAGAGAGUUCAAGAGUACGUGAAACCGUUCAGAGGCAAACGGACGGAACUGGGCGAGUUCGCCGUCGUCAUUCAGCCGCGCGCGCCCUCGGGCGUCGCGGUGCACUUGGCGGCGGCGGAGCGCGACGACCGCCUGCCCGGGUCGUCGGAAGCCCGGCGGCAAGGUGGCGACGCGUUCGCGCGUCGUGUUACAGGCCGCCGUGGCGUUGGCUGACCUGGCGGGCGAGGAGCGCCUGCGGUGCACUCCCCCGCGCGGGGAGCGGCUCGGCGCGGUGGGCUUGCGGACGCCGGCGACGAACUGCUCGCAGUUUGACGUCGCGCGCUCCGUCUGUCGCGCCCGUCGGUGCCGCGGGGCACCCAGGGUCCGGGUCGUGUGGUUCCUGGCACUCCGUCCGACCCGUCUUGAAACACGGACCAAGGAGUUGAGCACGCGCGCGAGUCGAUGGGCUCUGAGAACCCCAGUGGCGCAGCUAAGGCAAAACGGGCGUGAUCCGGCACUGGCGUGUCGGCGCAACGCCGGCCCGCAGCCGACUCGAUGCGAGUGGCUGCGGCGCAAGAGCGCGCGUGCUCAGACCCGAAAGGUGGUGAACUAUGCUUGAGCAGGGCGAAGCCAGAGGAAACUCUGGUGGAGGCUCGCAGCGAUCCUGACGUGCAAAUCGGUCGUCAAACUUGAGCAUAGGGGCGAAAGACUAAUCGAACCGCCUAGUAGCUGGUUCCCUCCGAAGUUUCCCUCAGGAUAGCUGGCACUCGGGAUAAAUGGUUUUAUCCGGUAAAGCGAAUGAUUAGAGGCAUUGGGGACGAAACGUCCUCAACCUAUUCUCAAACUUUAAAUGGGUAAGAGGCGCGACCCUUCCUGAUCGGGGUCGCGUGCUUGAACAGAGAGUGCCCAGUGGGCCGUUUUUGGUAAGCAGAACUGGCGCUGUGGGAUGAACCAAACGCGCGGUUAGGGUGCCUAACGCACGCUCAUGAGAUACCACAAAAGGUGUUGGUUGAUAUAGACAGCAGGACGGUGGCCAUGGAAGUCGGAAUCCGCUAAGGAGUGUGUAACAACUCACCUGCCGAAUCAACUAGCCCUGAAAAUGGAUGGCGCUGGAGCGUGCGACCCAUACCGCGCCGUCGGGGCAACGCGUGCGAAAUGCCAGGCCCCGACGAGUAGGAGGGCGUGUCGGUGGCGUUGAAGCGUAGUGCGCGAGCACGCGUGGAGCCGCCUUCAGUGCAGAUCUUGGUGGUAGUAGCAAGUAUACAAAUGAGAACUUUGUAGACCGAAGUGGAGAAGGGUUCCAUGUGAACAGCAGUUGGACAUGGGUCAGUCGGCCCUAAGAGAUCGGAGAAUUCCGUUCUGAACGGGGAGUGACAGCAGGCACUCUCGCGCGCGCGGACAGCGGAGCGGCGGCCGGCGUUCGUCAGAACCCGGUAAGCAAGCAAGAGCGGCGCGCGGCCGCGCUCCACGCAAAUGCUGUCCGCGGCGGCGCUGUGUGAGCUCGUGAGUGAGCAUGGUGUUGUUGGUGGUGGUGCGAGAGUGGCGCACGCACAAGCGGACUGGUCGCCCCGAUGCGAUCGAAAGGGAAUCGGGUUAAUAUUCCCGAACCUGGCAGUGGAGAUUGGGCCCUCGGGCCCCAGUGCGGUAACGCAACCGAACUCGGAGACGCCAGCGUCGAUCCCGGGAAGAGUUCUCUUUUCUUUGUUAGGAGCGGACUCCCUGGAAUUGGCUUGUCCAGAGAUAGGGACGUUGCAUCCGUAAAGCGUCGCGCCUCACGCGGCGUCCGGUGCAUCGGCGUUGGCCCUUGAAAAUCCGAGGAAGGCAGUGUAAUUUUCACUCCAGGCCGUACCCGAAUCCGCAGCAGGUCUCCAAGGUGCACAGCCUCUGGUCGAUAGAACAAUGUAGGUAAGGGAAGUCGGCAAAUCCGAUCCGUAACUUCGGGAUAAGGAUUGGCUCUGAGGUGCGGGCUGCUUCGGGUCGCGGCAAGAAGCGGACCGUGCGUUGGCUGGACUGGGCGCGCCUCGGCGCGCUCGGACCGCCGCCAGCGCGCGUCCGUGGGAGGCCGUGGCUUUCGCCGGCGUCGGCCUCGGUCGGCGUCGGCUUCGUUCGGCCUAAACGCACAGCACAGAACUGGCACGGACUCUGGGAACACGA